rnacentral:rRNA from 1 species
GAUGAACGCUGGCGGCGUGCCUAAUACAUGCAAGUCGAGCGAACAGACGAGGAGCUUGCUCCUCUGAUGUUAGCGGCGGACGGGUGAGUAACACGUGGAUAACCUACCUAUAAGACUGGGAUAACUUCGGGAAACCGGAGCUAAUACCGGAUAACAUGUUGAACCGCAUGGUUCAACAGUGAAAGACGGUCUUGCUGUCACUUAUAGAUGGAUCCGCGCCGCAUUAGCUAGUUGGUAAGGUAACGGCUUACCAAGGCAACGAUGCGUAGCCGACCUGAGAGGGUGAUCGGCCACACUGGAACUGAGACAUGGUCCAGACUCCUACGGGAGGCAGCAGUAGGGAAUCUUCCGCAAUGGGCGAAAGCCUGUCGGAGCAACGCCGCGUGAGUGAAGAAGGUCUUCGGAUCGUAAAACUCUGUUAUUAGGGAAGAACAAAUGUGUAAGUAACUAUGCACGUCUUGACGGUACCUAAUCAGAAAGCCACGGCUAACUACGUG